rnacentral:rRNA from 1 species
UACGGAGGGAGCGAACGUUGUUCGGAUUUACUGGGCGUAAAGGGUGUGUAGGCGGUCUUGCAAGUCAGGGGUGAAAUCCCUCGGCUCAACCGAGGAACUGCCUUUGAGACUGCAGGACUUGAGGGCGUGAGAGGAGACUGGAAUUCCUAGUGUAGCGGUGAAAUGCAUAGAUAUUAGGAGGAACACCAGUGGCGAAGGCGAGUCUCUGGCACGCAUCUGACGCUGAUACACGAAAGCCAGGGGAGCGAACGGG